AUUGAACGCUGGCGGAAUGCUUAACACAUGCAAGUCGAGCGAGCUGUAGCAAUACAGCUAGCGGCGGACGGGUGAGGAAUACAUAGGAAUCUGCCUCAGGGCGGGGGAUUGCCCGGGGAAACUCGGAGUAAUACCGCAUGAUGUCGCAAGACCAAAGUGGGGGACCGCAAGGCCCCACACUCUGAGACGAGCCUAUGUCUGAUUAGCUAGUUGGCGGGGUAAUGGCCCACCAAGGCGACGAUCAGUAGCUGGUCUGAGAGGACGAUCAGCCACACCGGAACUGAGACACGGUCCGGACUCCUACGGGGGGCAGCAGUGGGGAAUAUUGGACAAUGGGCGCAAGCCUGAUCCAGCAAUUCCGCGUGGGUGAAGAAGGCCUUCGGGUUGUAAAGCCCUUUAAGUUGGGACAAAAAAAUCGGCGAUAACAUCGCCGGUCUUGAUGGUACCGACAGAAUAAGCAACGGCUAACUCCGUGCCAGCAGCCGCAGUAA
rnacentral:rRNA from 1 species